UACAGAGGGGGCGAGCGUUGUUCGGAAUUAUUGGGCGUAAAGGGCGCGUAGGCGGCCAUGCGUGUCUUCCGUGAAAUCCCUCGGCUUAACUGAGGACGUGCGGAAGAAACUGCAAGGCUCGAGUCCGGGAGAGGGGGGUGGAAUUCCCAGUGUAGCGGUGAAAUGCGUAGAUAUUGGGAGGAACACCGGUGGCGAAGGCGGCCCCCUGGACCGGAACUGACGCUGAGGCGCGAAAGCGUGGGUAGCAAACGGG
rnacentral:rRNA from 1 species